UACGUAGGGUGCGAGCGUUGUCCGGAAUUAUUGGGCGUAAAGGGCUCGUAGGCGGUCUGUCGCGUCGGGGAGUGAAAACUCAGGGCUUAACCCUGAGCCUGCUUCCGAUACGGGCAGACUAGAGGUAUGCAGGGGAGAACGGAAUUCCUGGUGUAGCGGUGGAAUGCGCAGAUAUCAGGAGGAACACCGGUGGCGAAGGCGGUUCUCUGGGCAUUAACUGACGCUGAGGAGCGAAAGCAUGGGGAGCGAACAGG
rnacentral:rRNA from 1 species